rnacentral:rRNA from 1 species
AGGCUACAGAUGUAAAGCUAGUGAUAGCAAAGUCGAGUAGUACUAAUUGCCCGUACGCUUUAAUUUU